CCAAUACGUUAGGAUAAACAUAGAAGGAUAAGUUAUACAUUUGGAGUACUAACAUACUGGUAAGUACGAAACAUAUGGAAUGAUAAUAUGUUACAAAAUUAUUUUACACCUGUGAACUGAUAUAUGAUAUGGCAUAAGGUAGAACGGUCAUCGGUUGUUCAUGCUGCGGUCGGAUUCGCAGCCGUAUUCAUGUUUGCUUGAGUUCCGCACCGACGAAAAUCUUUCUAUAUCUGGGAAAAUAUGAAACUGUUUAAGAAAUCUAAUUGUAUGAUCUUAAUUUUUUAUGGCUGGGUUAGGGGAGUUUGUAAUACGUGCCUCUUACAUGUAGGCUUUGAGUAUUGGCGGAUAGUUUGGAAGAAGAAAAUCAUACCUGUGUGUUGACAAGGUGAAGUUGCUUCGUCGUCUGCUUUGUGAGUUGCACCAUUGUUUUGUGAAACCUGGUUGAUUAUUUUGUGAGAACAAAAGUUUAGAUAAUUUAUAAUUGAUAUGGUGAAUGUCACAAGACAUUUUUGUGUGUGACGAAGUUACCUAGUGUGACAAUGUGAUGUCAAUUGUUUCGUACCAGACGGAGCCAGUUGCGGAUCCUCAAAUACUUGGCAUGCAUAAUCAUAGAGGUCUUGGCAUGAUUGCAUACAUUUCUUAUGAGCUGUGAACUUAGCAUUGUAGAAAUCUUUAAAGUGAAAGGCUACUGUAGCAGGUAAAAAGCGCGCAUAUAACUGUCAACUGAGCAUAAAUCGCACGACACAAAGGAAAGAAUCCAAAUUAGUCAGCACGAGCAACAACCGAAGCAGUAGCGGACAUAAACACAAAUAAUAACCUUGGACACAUCUUAGAGAAACAACAGUAAGUAGGAAGCAGAGGCAAAGCACACAAACCGAAGAAAAGCAAAGCCGAUCAAAAUGCACGGUGAAGAACGCCACCACAAAAGCACAGUGCCGACGACCACAAUAAAUCAAUGAAAGAGAGGAGGGACGGAAUAGAGAACGGCAUGCAGCACAGCCGCCAAUACGGCCGAUGCACCCAAUGGCGUCGCGAGGCAGAGAGGCGACGCCGGCAUACAGGGAAGCACACCAAGCAC
rnacentral:lncRNA from 1 species